GACGAACGCUGGCGGCGUGCUUAACACAUGCAAGUCGAACGAAGAGCGACGGAAGCUUGCUGCUAUCAAUCUUAGCGGCGGGCGGGUGAGUAACGCGUAAUCAACCUGCCCUUCAGAGGUGGACAACAGAUGGAAAGGACUGCUAAUACCGCAUACGAUCUCAUCUCGGCAGCGGGGGGGGAGGAAAGGUGGUCUCUGCAGGUAAGCCAGCACAGCAGGAGGGGAGUGCGGCUGAUUAGCUAGUUGGCGGGGAAACGGCCCAGGAAGGCGAUGGUCAGUAGUCGGUCUGAGAGGACGGACGGCCACCUUGGGACUGUGACACGGCCCAUACUGCUUCGGGAGGCAGCCGGGGGGAUUCUUCCGCAAGGGACGAAAGUCUGACGGCGCAACGCCGCGUGAGUGAUGACGGCCUUCGGGUUGUAAAGCUCUGUUAAUCGGGACGAAAGGCCUUCUUGCGAAUAGUGAGCAGGAUUGACGGUACCGGAAAAGAAAGCCACGGCUAACUACGUG
rnacentral:rRNA from 1 species